UACGUAGGGUGCAAGCGUUGUCCGGAAUUAUUGGGCGUAAAGAGCUCGUAGGCGGUGUGUCACGUCGGCCGUGAAAACCUGCAGCUUAACUGUGGGCGUGCGGUCGAUACGGGCAUCACUGGAGUUCGGCAGGGGAGACUGGAAUUCCUGGUGUAGCGGUGAAAUGCGCAGAUAUCAGGAGGAACACCGGUGGCGAAGGCGGGUCUCUGGGCAGUAACUGACGCUGGAGGAGCGAAAGCGUGGGGAGCGAACAGG
rnacentral:rRNA from 1 species